rnacentral:lncRNA from 1 species
UGGGAAACACUAUCUGUUCAUGGCCUCUCGAUUGAAUUCUUAGUUCAGAUUCACAUUAAAUGAACAAAGGGCCGACACCAGGCCUAUCAAUAGCACAACAACAUCCCUAAACAUAUCCACAGUCAUCGUCAUCAGGCAUGAGCAGCAACUAAAAACUUAGAAAAGGAAGAAAAUAUGCAUCAGUGACUCAAAUCUCUAUGAAAGUUGUAUUAAACCAACAUUGAGAGGAAUCCAUGGUUACCUGAGAGCACUAAAGCCGCUAGACGAUCAUGAAAUUCCCCAAGAAACGAGCGGUUCUGGAAGACGCAACCCACGAACUGUUUUUGCAAAAAAUUUUCAGCCCUGAUGAAGGCGCUACUUUGGGCCGAGAUUUCACUUGCUUAGAGCCGUUUUCUCCCAGGGAUUUGUGAACAAAAUUUCUCCUAAUACCUCCCAAGAAGGUGCAGAACCCAUGAAAUCACUCAAAAACUAGAAAUCAGAAUGAGAAAUCAAUCUGGAAGGGGGAUGGUCUGCCAUCCUGGUACCAGAUUUUCUGCAACUUUUCCUUCUUCCUUUCUUCUCCAGCCAGCCCGAAGCUCCUUCCUUCCUCUUGUUUUCUUUUUUUUUUUCAGAUUUCCCCCAAGCUCUCUUUUUU